CAUUAAUUUAUUAUAUUUAUAUUUAACAACAUUGUUUGGUGAGUUGUGUAUUAUUUUUUAUUAACACGUUUAUGAAUCUUUUUAAUAAUAUUUAAAUUAAAAUUAUUUGUAUGGGUUAUAUUAUAGAUAAUAUUGAGCUUGUAUGGAUAAUUAUGUUUAUUCAAUGGAAUACAUUCAACCCUAUAGAAUAUUGAAUUAAAAAAUGAUAUUUUUUGAGAAUAAGAGUGAUUAGAAUCAUGUGGUAUUAUAGCAUCAGUUUGUGUAGGUUUUAUGUAGUUACUAAAAUCAUAUUUAUUGUUUAUUAUGGAAACUGUAAGAUCUAAGAAAUUAAAUUUAUUAUUCAUUUGUAUUUCAAGUGUAAACUGAAUGUUUUAAUUUAUUUUGUUUAAGUAGUAGUUAAUUAAAUUGUCUGCUUAUCUAUUUGAAUCUCUAAACAAAAUGAUUGUGUCAUCAACAUAUCUAUAAUAUGCUUUUAUAUAUGUACUGUAUAUUUUGUUUAUAAAUAAUGUUAACUAUUCUAGCAUGAAAUAUCAAAAUAAUAUGUCUAACAAAUUCCCUAAAAUUCUAAACAAUAAUAUAAAUAAUGUGAAAAUCCCUUUUAAGACUAAUAAUAGUUUAAUCAAACAUGUUUUAAAAAAUAACCAUAAUAUAAGUUUUGAUAUUAAUAGAUUUAGAAAUAUUUAAUACCCAAAAUAACAUUUACAUUAAUUCAGUUUUUCAAAGAUUUACACAUACACAAUGAAAUAAGGAAAAAUAAUUUUAAUAUUUUAAAUGUUCAAACUGAUUUUAAAAAUAAUAUCUUAUAUCUAUACAUUUUGGAUAAUAAAUAAUAACCAAGUAAUUUAUAUUUCUUAACAUAUCUUUUCUAAUAAUAAUCCAUUUUAAAUAAUCUCUCAUCUUCUUUCUUCUUUUGGGUUAAUUCGGCUGCUAGGACCAUCCCGUCUCAACCAAUUCUCCAGCCCUUUCUAUUCAUCGCCAAAUCCUUCCAGUUCCUUCUUAGUAGAGAGUUCUGGCUCUGCAUUGCAUGCCCUGCCCAUCACAACAUUCUUUUCUUGAUCGUCUCUGCUAUGUUAUUUUCAUUUUUUGUAGCUCUGUUUUUCCUUCUCCACUCUCCUGUGAUGUCAUCUUUUAUUAGACCAAAGAUCUUUCGUGAUAUUUUACUUUCUAGUAUUAAGAACUUAUUUUCAUCUGAUUUCCUUAGUGCCCAGGUUUCCGAUCCAUACAAUAUUACUGGUCAUAUUAAGUAUUAAAUAUUCACUUUACAAAUAUAAAAGAGCCCAAUACUUGUGUAAUAACAAAAUUAUUAUAGCUAUUACAUUAUUUUUAUAAAAAAUUUUAUAUUAUAAAGAGAGUGAAGAUGUAUUUCGGUAUUAUAGUUGGCGUUAAAUGUUGAUAAAAAUUUUUAAAAAAUGAAAUAUUAUUAUUAAUAGAGUAAUGAAAAAUUUGGUUUGUUUUGUUUCUUCAGGUGAUAACGAACAAAUUAUUUGAAGACCAUCAUCAACAACUUACAAUGUUUUCACUUGCAAAGCUGGCUUAUUUCGCACUCCCCAAAUUAGACUUUGAGUAUUACAUUUGAAAAAAGAAGCAAUUUGCAUGUGGCUCCCUGUUGCGAUUUAUUAUACCAACUUUUAAAAAACAAAAAUUGUGAAUUUAAUUUAUUUAUAGUACAUGAAUGUAUAUUCAAAAUGGGGCAUUUGGACUGCUUAACUAUUUUUAGCAGAUAUUUGAAUGAAAAAUUUCCGGACAAUGAUUCCAAUGAUGACAGCAUUGAGAAUGAUGAACAUAAUAUAUAGAUGUG
rnacentral:lncRNA from 1 species